rfam:Chloroflexi bacterium RBG_16_48_8 RBG_16_scaffold_8183, whole genome shotgun sequence.
GGUGGUGUGAACCAACGUGGAAAGGAAGCCGGAAAGCAAAACCUGGACUGGAAGGACGAGAACUGCGUAAGGAGUCGUGGAGCGCCGGAUGAGCUGGCAACGGACAGCAAAGUCCCAAAAGGAUCCAAGCGGCACUACGUAAACGCAGCCAGGGUCAGGGGAAAGCUAUCGUA